AACACGCCAGAGCAGUGUGGAUGCAAGGUGUAAAUGUAGCAAAAGAUAUUCGUUUUUUAACCAAAACGUAGCAAUGUAAAUGUAGCCCAAGU